rnacentral:rRNA from 1 species
CAGCAGCCACGGGAAUACAGAGGUCUCAAGCGUUGUUCGGAUUCAUUGGGCGUAAAGGGUGCGUAGGUGGCGGUGUAAGUCUAACGUGAAAUCUCGGGGCUCAACCUCGAAAUUGCGUCGGAUACUGCAUUGCUAGAGGAUUGUAGAGGAGAGUGGAAUUCAUGGUGUAGCAGUGAAAUGCGUAGAUAUCAUGAGGAAGACCAGUUGCGAAGGCGACUCUCUGGGCAAUUCCUGACACUGAGGCACGAAGGCUAGGGGAGCAAACGGGAUUAGAUACCCCUGUAGUCCCUGUCUCUUAUAC